CCUACGGGAGGCAGCAGUAGGGAAUAUUGCUCAAUGGGGGCAACCCUGAAGCAGCAACGCCGCGUGGAGGAUGAAGGCUUUCGGAUUGUAAACUCCUUUUGUUAGAGAAGAUAAUGACGGUAUCUAACGAAUAAGCACCGGCUAACUCCGGGCCAGCAGCCGCGGUAAUACGGAGGGUACAAGCGUUACUCGGAAUCACUGGGCGUAAAGAGCGCGUAGGCGGGAUAGCAAGUCAGAUGUGAAAUCCUAUGGCUUAACCAUAGAACUGCAUUUGAAACUGUUAUUCUAGAGUAUGGGAGAGGUAGGUGGAAUUCUUGGUGUAGGGGUAAAAUGCGUAGAGAUCAAGAGGAAUACUCAUGGCGAAGGCGACCUGCUAGAACAUAACUGACGCUGAUGCGCGAAAGCGUGGGGAGCAAACAGGAUUAGAUACCCCUGUAGUC
rnacentral:rRNA from 1 species